AACGAACGCUGGCGGCAUGCCUAACACAUGCAAGUCGAACGAGACCUUCGGGUCUAGUGGCGCACGGGUGCGUAACGCGUGGGAACCUGCCCUUAGGUUCGGAAUAGCUCCCCGAAAGGGGUGCUAAUACCGGCUAAUGUCUCCGGACCAAAGGGUUAUCGCGUUUGGAUGGGCGCGCGUUGGAUUAGCUAGUUGGUAGGGUAAAAGCCUACCAAGGCGACGAUCGAUAGCUGGGCUGAGAGGAUGAUCAGCCACACUGGGACUGAGACACGGCCCAGACUCCUGCGGGAGGCAGGAGUGGGGAAUAUUGGACAAUGGGCGAAGGCCUGAUCCAGCAAUGCCGCGUGAGUGAUGAAGGACUUAGGGUUGUAAAGCUCCUUUACCCGGGAUGAUAAUGACAGUACCGGGAGAAUAAGCUCCGGCUAACUCCGUG
rnacentral:rRNA from 1 species